AACGCUUGCGAAGCAGACUCGGCCGGGGUUUGGUGUUUGAGAAGUGACAAAUUCUUCCUUGGUUGUUAAUUUUAUCGAAUCUUAAGGCACAACCUAGAUUCGAGACAAUGUACUAAGUAUUUGAACAUGUUUUUUACUCCAACCUCGUGAAAGUGACAAACUGACACGUUUUUAGUUAUUGCACAUGCGCAGCUUGGCGCGAGACAACCGUUACACCCGAUUACGUGUUUUUGCGCAUGAGCAGUCGCCGCGGUCACGUGCUAGUUGGAACUAGGAAACUCCGAUAUUUCCAACAUUCGUUGAACGCGGCACGUGUAUAACUACAACCAGUUAGGAGGUUGGACAUUUCCGAGUUUCCGAGUCCCGACAAGCACUUGGACGCGGCACCAGCUAGCCAACGUCGCCAUGACAUCGCCUACAAACGUGAUCAGGACCUGAGCUCUAGGACCAUGCCCCAGGACUACCUGACAUGAUGACUCCUUGCUGUCCCCAGUCCACCUGGCCGUGCUGCUGCUCCAGUUUAAACUGUUCUGCCUUAUUAUUAUUCGACCAUGGUCAUUUAUGAACAUUUGAACAUCUUGGCCAUGUUCUGUUAUAAUCUCCACCCGGCACAGCCAGAAGAGGACUGGCCACCCCACAUAGCCUGGUUCCUCUCUAGGUUUCUUCCUAGGUUUUGGCCUUUUCUUGGGAGUUUUUCCUAGCCACCGUGCUUCUACACCUGCAUUUCUUGCUGUUUGGGGUUUUGGCUGGGUUUCUGUACAGCACUUUGAGAUAUCAGCUGAUGUACGAAGAGCUAUAUAAAUAAAUUUGAUUUGAUUCUUCAA